UAGGGAAUCUUCGGCAAUGGACGAAAGUCUGACCGAGCAACGCCGCGUGAGUGAAGAAGGUUUUCGGAUCGUAAAACUCUGUUGCUAGAGAAGAACAAGGACGUUAGUAACUGAACGUCCCCUGACGGUAUCUAACCAGAAAGCCACGGCUAACUACGUGCCAGCAGCCGCGGUAAUACGUAGGUGGCAAGCGAUGUCCGGAUUUAUUGGGCGUAAAGCGAGCGCAGGCGGUUUCUUAAGUCUGAUGUGAAAGCCCCCGGCUCAACCGGGGAGGGUCAUUGGAAACUGGGGGACUUGAGUGCAGAAGAGGAGAGUGGAAUUCCAUGUGUAGCGGUGAAAUGCGUAGAUAUAUGGAGGAACACCAGUGGCGAAGGCGGCUCUCUGGUCUGUAACUGACGCUGAGGCUCGAAAGCGUGGGGAGCAAACAGG
rnacentral:rRNA from 1 species